ACCCGGGUGGCUCAGUGGGUUAAGCGUCUGACUUCCACUCAGGUCAUGAUCUCACAGUUCAUGGGUUCGAGCCCCACGUCGGGCU
rnacentral:tRNA from 1 species